rnacentral:rRNA from 1 species
GCGAACGGGUGAGUAACACGUGAGUAACCUGCCCUUAACUCUGGGAUAAGCCUGGGAAACUGGGUCUAAUACCGGAUAUGACUCCUCAUCGCAUGGUGGGGGGUGGAAAGCUUUAUUGUGGUUUUGGAUGGACUCGCGGCCUAUCAGCUUGUUGGUGAGGUAAUGGCUCACCAAGGCGACGACGGGUAGCCGGCCUGAGAGGGUGACCGGCCACACUGGGACUGAGACACGGCCCAGACUCCUACGGGAGGCAGCAGUGGGGAAUUAUUGCACAAUGGGCGCAAGCCUGAUGCAGCGACGCCGCGUGAGGGAUGACGGCCUUCGGGUUGUAAACCUCUUUCAGUAGGGAAGAAGCGAAAGUGACGGUACCUGCAGAAGAAGCGCCGGCUAACUACGUGCCAGCAGCCGCGGUAAUACGUAGGGCGCAAGCGUUAUCCGGGAAUUAUUGGGCGUAAAGAGCUCGUAGGCGGUUUGUCGCGUCUGCCGUGAAAGUCCGGGGCUCAACUCCGGAUCUGCGGUGGGUACGGGCAGACUAGAGUGAUGUAGGGGAGACUGGAAUUCCUGGUGUAGCGGUGAAAUGCGCAGAUAUCAGGAGGAACACCGAUGGCGAAGGCAGGUCUCUGGGCAUUAACUGACGCUGAGGAGCGAAAGCAUGGGGAGCGAACAGGAUUAGAUACCCUGGUAGUCCAUGCCGUAAACGUUGGGCACUAGGUGUGGGGGGACAUUCCACGUUUUCCGCGCCGUAGCUAACGCAUUAAGUGCCCCGCCUGGGGAGUACGGCCGCAAGGCUAAAACUCAAAGGAAUUGACGGGGGCCCGCACAAGCGGCGGAGCAUGCGGAUUAAUUCGAUGCAACGCGAAGAACCUUACCAAGGCUUGACAUGGACUGGAAAUACCUGGAAACAGGUGCCCCGCUUGCGGUCGGUUCACAGGUGGUGCAUGGUUGUCGUCAGCUCGUGUCGUGAGAUGUUGGGUUAAGUCCCGCAACGAGCGCAACCCUCGUUCUAUGUUGCCAGCGCGUUAUGGCGGGGACUCAUAGGAGACUGCCGGGGUCAACUCGGAGGAAGGUGGGGACGACGUCAAAUCAUCAUGCCCCUUAUGUCUUGGGCUUCACGCAUGCUACAAUGGCCGGUACAAAGGGUUGCGAUACUGUGAGGUGGAGCUAAUCCCAAAAAGCCGGUCUCAGUUCGGAUUGGGGUCUGCAACUCGACCCCAUGAAGUCGGAGUCGCUAGUAAUCGCAGAUCAGCAACGCUGCGGUGAAUACGUUCCCGGGCCUUGUACACACCGCCCGUCAAGUCACGAAAGUUGGUAA